CAUUUCUGUCCAUCUUGUCCCCUUUGAAGGGCGAUGGACGGGAUAUUUGUCUGGCCGCCGGGUUCUUUCCUGAAGAAAAGACUAUGACUUUGACUGUGAAAGGUAAAGACCCUGUGAGCCUUACAACCAGAGAACCACCCUUGUUUAAAUCGACCAAAACCUAUUAUUAUGCUGGAUUCAGUGAAGAUGAUAAAGUGCAAACAUGCGAAAUGGAUGGACAAACAGCAGACAAAACUCUUGACACUGCUGACACGACAGAAAACCCCGAAAGAGUGACUGAACAGACUUGUCCAACUAGUCUUAGUGCUGAUGCCUUAGAGUUCAUAAACACUGGUGAUCCAAAAAUGAACUCCAUGAAUCUUCUUGUGACAGGUCUGAGAAUUCUGCUUGCUAAAUGUGUCGCAGUUAAUGCAUUGAUGACUGUGAAGGCAUUCAUAUUUUAAAAGUUCAGUUCAGCCAAAUCAUUGGAAUAAUCAAAAAUUGUAACUUUGCUCAUCAAGGCUGCAUUUAUUUGAUCAAAAAUAUAGGAAACAUUUAAUUUUGUGAAAUAUUAUUAUAAUGUAAAAUACAAUUUUUCUAUUUUAAUAUACAUUAAAAUAUAAUUUAUUUCUGUGAUGCAAAACUGAAUUUUCAGCAUCAUUACUCCAGUCUUCAGUGUCACAUGAUCCUUCAGAAAUCAUUCUAAUAUGCUGAUUUAUUAUCAGUGCUGGAAACGAAUGUGCUGCUUAAUAUUUUUUUGGAACCUGUGAUACUUUUUUCAGUAUUAUUUGAUGAAUAAAAAGAUUAAAAGAAGAGCAUUUAUUUAAAACAGAAAUCUUUUCUAACUAUAUACACAACAGUUCA
ensembl:lncRNA